rnacentral:rRNA from 1 species
UAAUACAGAGGGGGCAAGCGUUAUUCGGAAUUAUUGGGCGUAAAGGGCGCGUAGGCGGCCUUGUAAGUCUUGGGUGAAAUCCCUCAGCUCAACUGAGGAACUGCCUCGGAAACUGCAAGGCUUGAGGCCGGGAGAGGGUAGUGGAAUUCCCAGUGUAGCGGUGAAAUGCGUAGAUAUUGGGAGGAACACCGGUGGCGAAGGCGGCUACCUGGACCGGUUCUGACGCUGAUGCGCGAAAGCGUGGGUAGCAAACAGG